AACUUUGUACAGUAGCAUUACUAUAGCUGAUGAGGUUUAUCUGUAGCAUGGUUAUUGCUGAUUGAAAACUGAUUAUGAAAUGGACAUAUAUAUAUAUAUAGUUUUGUAAUAUUAAUAAAUUCCCUUAUAGCAGUGAACCUGGAU